CUACAACCCCCAUUAGGAUGGAAUUCCAAAUUAAUUUCUUGUUUUGUUGCAGGAAACCAGGGUACACCCAUACAAACACCGGGAGAACCUAAACAACUCAUUGCAGAGAAUGGCCCUCAUUUACUAAGAAAAUCGGGUUAUCAGCAUCUUAUUGCAAGCAGGACAAGUGGCCCUUGUUCCUGGGACCUACCGGCUGACCAGCGACUUGGACACCAUCUGGUACCCCUUUAUUAGGGUGAUUUUUCUACUAUAUUGAGGUCCAAUGACGGCACUCCUGAAAAAUAGAGAACUGGCUACAACACAUUAGUAUUUGUUAUUUGUGCAUAUCUUUCCUUUACAGGUUGGGGAAUUAAAUUCCCUUAUGCCAAAAUACAUGAUUACUACC